UACAGGGGGGGCAAGCGUUGUUCGGAAUUACUGGGCGUAAAGGGUUCGUAGGUGGCCAACUAAGUCAUACGUGAAAUCCCUCAGCUUAACUGGGGAACUGCGCCUGAUACUGGUUGGCUUGAGUGCAGGAGAGGAACGCGGAAUUCCAGGUGUAGCGGUGAAAUGCGUAGAUAUCUGGAGGAACACCGGUGGCGAAGGCGGCGUUCUGGGACGUGACUGACGCUGAGACGCGAAAGCGUGGGGAGCAAACAGG
rnacentral:rRNA from 1 species